GGGUUGAUGGGGGAAGGGAGGUGGGCAGGGAGAUGGGUUAAAUGAGUGAUAGGUACUAAGGAAGGCACUGUUGUAAUAAGAACUGGGUGUUAUAUGUAAGUGAUCAAUUACUAAAUUCUACUCCUAAAACUAAUAUUACACUAUAUGUUAACUAACUAGAAUUUAAUAAAAACUUGAGACAUACAAAAAAAAAUUGGUGCUUCAAUAAAGAAACUAUAACACCAUCAGAAAGAUCAAUGAACAAAUGAUUGUUCACACUACCCAACCAGAAAUGAGUGUCAUAACC